ACGCCAGCCUUCUUAUUUUCCUCCAAAACGCAGAACCCUCAGACCCCUGCCGCUCCUCUCUCUUCUCUAUUUCUCUACCCUCUCCUUCCCAAAAACCCAACACUGAAAAUCAAUCUCACCAAGAAGCCAUCCCCAUGCUGUUUGGUCCGAAAUCGAAAGAAGGCAUCAUUGAUCUUUCCAUGGUGCUACUCACAAGGACCGAUCUCCACCUUUGAGCACUGACGAUAGCCGUCAAAAUUGGGCAGAUUACAUCAGAUGGUUGAAUUAGAACUUUGUUUCAGAAAAUUAGGAUCCGAAGACCCUCACACAGAUGAUGAAACCUUUGGAUUGGUGAUCUCUUCAAGCCUCACAAAACCUUGAUACAAUGCAAGGUUACACUUACAUCAUUAGUUGAAGGAGUGGUGUUCCUUUGCAAAGCAGCCAACAAAUAUAAAGUUAUCAACUUCAUUUUCUUUUGUUCUUCCAUGAAGAUGAGGGUGAUGCAUGUUCACAAAGCUUGAUAUGCA